rnacentral:rRNA from 1 species
CUAGCCGUAAACGAUGGAUGCUAGGCGUUGUGAGUAUCGACCCUCACAGUGUCGUAGCUAACGCGUUAAGUAUCCCGCCUGGGGAGUACGCGCGCAAGCGUGAAACUCAAAGGAAUUGACGGGGGCCCGCACAAGCGGUGGAGUAUGUGGUUUAAUUCGAUGCAACGCGAAGAACCUUACCAGGACUUGACAUGUCGCGAAUCUCAGGGAAACUUGAGAGUGCCUUCGGGAGCGCGAACACAGGUGGUGC